AGGGUUUGAUCAUGGCUCAGGAUGAACGCUGGCGGCGUGCUUAACACAUGCAAGUCGAGCGAAGCGCUUAAACGGAUUUCUUCGGAAUGAAGUUUUUGUGACUGAGCGGCGGACGGGUGAGUAACGCGUGGGCAACCUGCCCCAUACCGGGGGAUAACAGCUGGAAACGGCUGCUAAUACCGCAUAAGCGCACAGUACCGCAUGGUACGGUGUGAAAAACUCCGGUGGUAUGGGAUGGGCCCGCGUUGGAUUAGCCAGUUGGCAGGGUAACGGCCUACCAAAGCGACGAUCCAUAGCCGGCCUGAGAGGGCGACCGGCCACAUUGGGACUGAGACACGGCCCAA
rnacentral:rRNA from 1 species